rnacentral:ncRNA from 1 species
GGGGACCUUCGGGGCCCUUCAUCUAACGGACCUAUGGUCCAAAGCAACGGAAGACAGAGA